rnacentral:rRNA from 1 species
AGCGAACGCUGGCGGUAGGCCUAACACAUGCAAGUCGAACGGCAGCACAGUACUAUCUUGCUCUUACGGGUGGCGAGUGGCGGACGGGUGAGGAAUACAUCGGAAUCUACUUUUUCGUGGGGGAUAACGUAGGGAAACUUACUCUAAUACCGCAUACGACCUUCGGUGGUAAGCAGGGGAUCGUCGGGCCUGGUGCGGUUGAAUGAGCCGAUGUUGGGUUAGCUAGUGGGGGGGGUAAUUGCCCACGCAGGCGACGAUCCGUGGCCGGUGUGUGAGGAUGGUCGGCGGCCCUGGAGCUGGGCCACGGUCCAUGGUCCUACGAGACGCAGCAGUGUCGUAUGUUGGACAAUGGGCGCGAGCCUGACACAGCCAGAGCACGUGGGUGGAGAAGGCCUUGGGGUUGUAAAGCCCUUUUGUUGGGUAAGAAACGCAGCAGGUUAAGACCCCGCUGUUGUGACGGUACCCAAUGAAUAAGCACCGGCUAACUUCGUG